rnacentral:rRNA from 1 species
UACGAAGGGUGCAAGCGUUAAUCGGAAUUACUGGGCGUAAAGGGUGCGUAGGCGGUUGUUUAAGUCUGUCGUGAAAUCCCCGGGCUCAACCUGGGAAUGGCGAUGGAUACUGGGCAGCUAGAGUGUGUCAGAGGAUGGUGGAACUCCCGGUGUAGCGGUGAAAUGCGUAGAGAUCGGGAGGAACACCAGUGGCGAAGGCGGCUACCUGGCCCACUCUUGACGCUGAGGCGCGAAAGCUAGGGGAGCAAACGGG